GCUGGGGAAUUCAUGUGGAGGUCAGGGUGGAAGCAGGUGUGAGUGGGGCCAGCAGAAGGAAACAUGGCUGCAAAAGUGUUUGAGUCCAUCGGCAAAUUUGGCCUGGCCUUAGCUGUUGCAGGAGGCGUGGUGAACUCUGCCUUAUAUAACGAUUUGCAGAACGUCAACAUCACCCUGCGCAUCCUCUUCCGGCCUGUCGCCAGCCAGCUCCCCUCGCAUCUUCACCAGCAUCGGGGAGGACUACGACGAACGUGUGCUGCCAUCCAUCACCACGGAGAUCCUCAAGUCCGUGGUGGCUCGCUUCGAUGCCGGGGAGCUGAUCACCCAGAGAGAGCUGGUCUCCAGGCAGGUGAGCGAUGACCUCACCGAGCGAGGCGGCGACCUUUGGGCUCAUCCUGGAUGACGUGUCCUUGACACAUCUGACCUUCGGGAAAGAGUUCACAGAAGCUGUGGAAGCCAAACAGGUGGCCCAGCAGGAAGCAGAGAGGGCCAGAUUCGUAGUGGAGAAGGCUGAGCAGCAGAAGAAGGCAGCCAUCAUCUCCGCCGAGGGCGACCCAAGGCGGCUGAGCUGAUCGCUAACUCGCUGGCCACCUCGGGCGACGGCCUGAUCGAGCUGCGCAAGCUGGAGGCCGCCGAGGACAUCGCCUACCAGCUGUCUCGCCCUCGAAACAUCACCUACCUGCCGGCCGGGCAGUCGGUGCUCCUGCAGCUGCCCCAGUGAGCCGGGCCGGAGGCGCCUUCCCUUCCGCCCCCACCCCCAAAAUGAAUCACUGUGACACUUCAUGAUUGACCCGAAGUGACGGAAAUAAAGCUAAAAUCACUUUAGCCCGAUGAUUAUCCAAGGAAGGUCUUUUGUUCCUCCCGUAUCCACCUUUGUAUCCACCUCCCUACCAGAAACUGCCAAGUGCCUGUGCAGAGCGGCUCAGGGCUUGUGGGUGCCCCAGCCUGGGGCCCGGCAGCUGGCAGAAGGGCAGGGCGAUGGUGACCAGCGGGGUCGCUCUCCUGGCCUCCAUCCUGUCAGUGAAGAUUCCAGGACAGUGGCCGAGAGGGUGGGCAAUUCCUGCACAGCCAAGGAAUCUGCCCCUUUUGAGGUGGGUGGGCCUGGCUCUGCUGUCCCCCAAGGUCCUAAAACCAGGAUGGACUUGGAUAGGGAGCCAAGAGGAGACCUGGCCCCAGGUGCGUCCUGCUGGAGUCUUCCGGCUCCAAUGCCCGGUGGAAUUCCAGCUUGAAGGAUCACAUCCUGCCGGCCGCUGGGCCAGCCAAAGACGCGCAUCCCACGUUCCUGCUCCUCACUAGACCGCCCUUCCCCAGGGCUGCGCCUGGGCCCCAGAGGAAUCAAUCAUGGGAAGAAAAUAAAUCUGUGUAAACCGCUGUCAAUAAACGACACCC
rnacentral:lncRNA from 1 species